UUGGUACACCGAGAUAUUCUUCCUCUUGGCUUUCAUGUAUAAGGUUGGUGCAAUGUUCCUUGGCGUCUGACCACGAAUCCAGCUCGAUCUCCAAAAAUCAGCCGUUUUGCCGUUUCCAAUUGUUACAGUUGUGGAUGCAUUGAAUAGAUCAACAUCUCCAAAAAUCAUCCAUGGUUCUUCCAGCUAGCUUUGUAUCUCUAUUCUAUGAUUAGCAUCAAACCUAAAAUUAAAUGGCACAAUUAGCAGAAAAAAUAAAAACUACCUGCAUCCUGUGCUACCAAGUCAAAUUGGCUAGCAUUCUCACCUUUUUUUCAGUAGGGAGAUUACUCUGACAGAUUUACAAACCGUCCUCGGUCUCCAACAGAUUUGCAGCACUUCGAGCUACACCACGGAAAGGGAGGGAGCUAACCGGCUAGCAGCGCAGGUGCUGGAGAAAGGUCGAACCCGCUUCCAGGUGGUGAAGACGGCGAGAGGACACGGCCGAGGACGACGACGACGCUGUGUGCCUUGCCUUCCCCGAUCUGCUCCAAGGAUGGCGAGACGGCGACGCUGUGUCCCUUCCCUUCCCUUCCCCGAUCUACUCUGAGGACGGUGAGAGAAGCUUCAGGAGCAGAGGUAGACUAGAGUCGGGGACUCCAGGGAGACGGGAGGGAGAAGAUGGUAUGAACGGAUGUGAACUCUAGUCUGUGUAUGAGCAGUUUGGACAUUUCCAAGGACAAAAUCCAUUAGUCAAACUUAAAAGUUACAUGUGAACUAUUUCGAAAAAGUUGUCCAAUCAAACGGCUUUGUUUUACAAAUGCACCGAAGCGUGCUCUUUACUUAAAGAACAACGAUAAAGGGAUCCACUGUAACAAUUUUCUCCUCGUAGCUGUGCCACCGUCACUUCGAUUCGCUACUACUCGCCGCGCCGUUCCGCCGUCAAUGCCACCGACGCGCUUCACUCCAGUCUCGCUCUGCGUCCACCUUCUCCAGUCCUAGUCGCCCGCCGAUGGUGCGGCCGGCGGCGAAGCACUUGGUGGCGCUCGCCGUCGUCGCCAUUCUCGGCAUCGGCCUCGUCGCUGACUACCUCUGGGCUUCGUCCUUCUCCGCAUCGUACGCCAGCUCCGCCGCUCUGACGCCGCCCGUCGCGAAGAAGGGCUUGUGUUGCUGCAAAUGAUAAACUUCUUGUUAUCGGUGGUCAAGAAGGUGAUUUCAUGGCGAAGCCUGGGUCUCCUAUAUUUAAAUGUGUCAGAAGAAGUGAGGUAUGUUGACAUGCACCUCAUUCUUAUAGCUAAUUGAUGCACAUUAUGUGGUCCCUAUGUUUUAAGAUCAACUGAGAUCAAUUCCCCGCAUUAAAGACAACUUAGCCAUAUGUUGUGCAUGAUUAAGUCUAGUAAAUAAGCAUCUAAGCACCACACACGCUGCGCCUACUUUCUUCAAUAAAUAAUGGCGGACCUAAUUUCACCAGAAAGUGGAUUGGGCACUGUAUUUUUCAAAGAAAACAAACAACUGAUAAAGACAUUUAGUUUUAUUUAACUAUGAAGCUAUCAUAUAUCACAUAUAUUCAAACAUUGGCAUAAUUGAUGUUUUUGAGUUGAGACCAGAAUCAAUCCGAAAGUACUAGUAGUUUCACUAUUUUCUUAGUAACCUUACUAUUUGCACUAUUUAUUUAUCUUUGUUAUUACCCUCUUUUUUAAAAAUUACACUCUGCUUGUGAAGGUUGUGUAUAGUAAUGUUUAUAUGCUUGAUGAUGGAACGACUUGGAAGGAACUUCCACCUAUGCCAAAACCAGAUUCACAUAUAAAAAGAACUGAUAUGACUAAGCCGUUCUUUGUGUUUUUUUUUUUGCGUACAACUGUUUCAAUCCCCCCGUGAGUUCUUUCUUGGUUAGGCUAUCUCUAGCAGCUCUCCUAUCGCACCAUUUCGUGUAGAGAAUCGAUGGCUGUCCUGGGGGAUGUGACUGUCGCAAUCUUGUAAGCUGUAGCCUCUUCUUUAUUGAGCUCUUUCACUCGUCUGUAGUGGGUAGUGAAUCGAUUAGAUACAUUCUAAAAUGAACUUCAACUUGAGCCAUUCUUAUGCAUGGUUGACUUGGGCUCUCUUCACUUUCGUAUCACAUGCUUUCUGUGAGUGAUGAAAGUAUCUCCCCUGAUUCCUAGUACUUUAUGCCCGUGUUAAUAUAUCAUAAAGUAGCUGGAUGAUUGGCUUGUCAUGCGACCAGAUGUGCUGGAAAGGGUUGCGGUGCUUGCGUUCUGACGUGAGAUGCUGGGCCUGGUGCCGUUGAUGACCACAGCAUCCAUUCCCACGAGUACCUGCACUGACCAUGCUCGCAAUCACCAUAUCCAGAGGGCAGCAAAAGUCAGAAGCUGAUUCCAGAGCAACUGUCCUUCUGGUUUCGCUGCUCUUGGGACUCGUUUUUUUCCUUCUCGAAAUCCAUAUAUUUUUUCUCGAAAGCGCAAGAGAGCUGCGCGAAAAUAUAUUAAGAAGGGGAAAAAGGUCCAAAAAGGACCCCAAGAUACAGAUAAGCCGCCCUACGGCGGCCAAUAACAAGCAUAAAUGAAACCAUCCAUGACAAAAACACUGCUACCAAAACAGCACUAUAGCUAUCUAGCUAACAUGUAGACUAGCUAACAUGUAGACCUGGGAUGGGGGCAAUAAGCAUAAAUGGUUUGAUCUUUGGGUUAUGGGCUGGUGCAAAGAAGCUGUCGAAAUCCAUAUAUUGCUUCUGAUUUUUGCAGCAUUUCAAGUUUUCCACAGUUUGACGCAUCCAGCUACCAGCUGUUCAGCUCUACCAUUAUUUCCUCGUGGAGUAUUGUAGCCUGCAGCAAAAAACCAGCUCAGAGAUGGACUUGCUGAGGUCGGCGGAAAGCAUUGCUUGACUUUAAUCCUUACUCGUUUCUAUUGUUGAUAUAGAGGGUGUUUGGUUAGAGGGACUAAAGAUUAGUCUCUAGUUUUUAGUCUCAUUUAGUCCCUUUUUUGUCAAACACUAGGACUAAAAUAUGGACUAAAAUGAUUUAGUCUUUAGUCCUUCACAUAUGUGCUAAAAAGACUAAACCAUAUUAAUUCCACAUUUAGCCCUUAUUUAGUUCAAUUGUACUAAUAGCAGAAGAAUAUUAAAAUCAUUUUAGUAUUUUUAUGAGUCAUUUAGUAUAUUCUUAUUAUUUUUAGCUCUUAGAACUAAACUUGUUAGAGAAUAAACUUUAGUCCAUAGACUAAAGAAACCAAAUAUGGCCAUAAUGUUUUGUCUUAUAGCUGCGACAAUAUGAAUAGUUGACUUUAAUUUGAA